UUUUUUUCUAGAUGGAGUUUUGCUGUCACCCAGGCCGGAGUGCAAUGACACAAUCUCGGCUCACUGCAACCUCAACCUCCCAGGUUCAAGUGAUUCUCCUGCCUCAGCCUCCCAAGCAGUUGGGAUCACAGGCACACAGCACCACACCUGGCUAAUUUUAUGUAUUUUUUUAGUAGAGAUGGAGUUUCACCAUGUUGGCCAGGCUGGUCUGGAACUCCUGACCUUAGGUGAUCCUCUCGCCUCGGCCUCCCAAAGUGCUAGGAUUACAGGGGUGAGCCACCACACCCGGCCUCAAAUGAUAAAUUCUGAGGAGAUAUUCUAAUUUUCAUUCCCCUCCAGAAUGUCUGGGUGUGCUAUCACCAGCUGUGCAACAUUCUUGAAGAGAGAAACGAAUGUGGCCUGGUAGAUAAAAGUGUUCAAACAUUAAUAAAUUUUGGUUUGUACAAAAAGG
rnacentral:lncRNA from 1 species